GGACACCUAGAGGCGCCGUAGAAGUAUUGGGAGGGAACGAGGGAAGCUAGUGGAAUCCUUUCAUUGAAAAAACCCAUCUUUUCGAAUCGAUUUCUCUAUAGAAUUAUAUCAUCUUAGUCUUCUGGUUUGAUGGGUUCUUAGUUACAUAUACUGUGUUUGAAGCUUUACUUGUCUUUCUAUUAAGUAGUACUACAUGGAUAUCGAGCAGAAGCAAGCGGAGCUUAUAGAGCACUUCGUCAAACAAGCAGAGAAUCACAAAGGGGCUUCUCUUGCGAAUGUAAUAGUUGAAGCAACCUCGCAUUCAUCUCUCUUCGCUUUUUCUGAGAUUCUAGCUGUUCCUCAUGUUGUCGAGCUUCAAGGCACUGAGUACUCUGUCUUUCUUGAUAUGCUUCGUCUGUUUGCCCAUGGCACAUGGAGUGAUUACAAGAGUAAUGCCUGCCGUCUCCCACCUCUAGUACCUGAUCAAGUCCUCAAGCUAAAGCAACUUAGUGUGCUUACUUUUGCUGAAACAAACAAGGUACUCUCCUAUGAUCAAUUAAUGCAGGAGCUGGAUGUUACAAAUGUACGUGAACUUGAAGACUUCCUUAUCAAUGAAUGCAUGUAUGCGGGCAUAGUUAGAGGAAAGCUGGAUCAGUUGAGAAGAUGCUUUGAGGUACAAUUUGCUGCUGGGAGGGAUCUGAGACCUGGACAGCUCGGGAGUAUGAUACAAACAUUAACAAGCUGGUUGACUACUUCAGACAAUCUCCUUCUCUCAAUUCAGGAGAAGAUAAAAUGGGCAGAUUUGAUGAGUGAGUUGGACAAGAAGCACCGGAAGGAAGUUGAAGACAAGGUUGAUGAAGUGAAGAAAUCUCUCUCUGUCAAGAAGUUACACACUGUAAGCAGGCAGACAUGGAGUUCCGGGGGCACGAGGAGAUGAUCUACUCUGAACCUGGUGGAGUAGUGAUGGAUUAUGAGGAAGAUCGUAGCCGUCCCAAGAGGAGACGGCCACCCAUAUCUUGAGCUUGAGGGAAUAAAAGGUGGGUCCCAUUGGACAGUUUUUUUUUUCCCCAGAGGUUUGCCAGAUUUUGGUGAUGGCAUUGCGGGAUCAUGUAGUCUCUGCUGUUGGAAGUAUUAUGGCCUUUUAAUUAACUUGCAGUAAAUCUGUGCAAACUCAGUGUAUUCACUGUAUUGACAAUAGAUGACAAUAUAUAUAUUUUUUAUUGGUUAAAUUUGAUUAUUGUGAGUCUUGGGAAAAUCAUAUACAUAGUUCAAAGCAUUCAAGAUUUGUAAUUUCAUUUAUUCUCUGCUUUUUUGAGGACUUGAGAAUGGGGCUCUUUCUGAUGUGGCCUACAAGCAUUGGAGUCCAGAUGUGAAUGUUUUUAGGUUCUUUGGAGCC